rnacentral:lncRNA from 1 species
CGGACUCAAAUUGGUGACUCCAGAAUAGAAUUCUUUGUUAUCGUGCCAGUCUAAUUGGGACUCUGAAUAACGUUGCCCUGAAUAGUUUUGGAACGCUAUACCUUAUUUCUCAGGGAAAACACUAAAUGAAGGUAGCAAUAUUUUAUUUAAG